AUGCUCUCCCUCACACAGUCACGUUUUAGUGAUUACGGUUCACAGUUGCCUCUUGCCCUCCUCCUCCACGAGAAGCCUUCUGAGAGCAAGAAUUUGCUGACGGGUCAUCGCAACAGUGGGGGUAGGGGAAUGCAUUUUACGACCAUCCUCACAUUCCGAUGGUCUAGAUCACACUCCCUGUUAAUUUUUUAUGACCACAUUGGUUCUUUUUGUAUCCACAGCUGAUGUAAGUGUUCCCAUCUGGCUUUGGUGGGUGGACAGCAUCCUUGCUAUUGACCAGAGCCCCUAGCACGGUCUUGAUGUCUAUGCAUUCUCUUUGCUCCUUAGCUCAACCCCAGGCCUCCUAUAUAAUCCAGUAACCUUCAUUGUAAUCAGAUGUUCUUUAUUAGAGCAUAAAGCAUUUUCUUGAUUUUCUCCGCACCAGGUCUCUCCAAGCUUCGGGAUGUAGCAGAAGACGUAAUCCAAGCUCUCUUUCUGCAUGGAAAUACAAAAGCUUCGUAUAAAAUCCUCUGGUCAUCCCAAUUGGGAAGCAUUAUAAAGCCAUGCCUCCCAUGUGGCAGCCGAGAACAUACUCCCUCUCCUGAAAUUACCAAAAAUAUGGGAGUAGGCUCCACUUUGAAGCCUGAAAUGUACUCUUCUCUGCUUUCCUCUAGCUGGGAGGAGAACUCCCAUCUAAUCCCUGUUCAGCAGGAAAUUGCUCCUAAAUCACCCUUCCUAUUUCAUAAUAUAUAGUAAAAAUUUCAUGCGCAAUCCUCCAAGCUUUUGUUCCAGAUGUUUAAAGGAAAGAUUUUGGAAUUUAGAAAACUGCUUUCAAGUGUUUGUCCUUUGCCACCGAAAGCCCAGUUUUAAUUAUAUAAUCUAUAAAAUGGACUUCAAGAACCUAUUUUAAAGUGCAAAGGGUUGACUUUGACUAUUUUGUCCUCCACAUUCCAGAUACAACGAUAUUAAUGUGGUAAUAUACAGGGACUGGAGCAGACACCUUGCUAAGUGGUUGUGUGCAAUAUCAAUUUUACAUUCAUGAUGUUUGGCAAUGACAUUCCUGAAGUAUGGGGAGAUUCAGGAAAUCACCCAAGAAUGCGGUUGGUGAUGGAACCAGGAAUUGAAACCAGACAGCUUGUAUCCUGAGCCCAUACCCUUUUCCCUCUACAUUAUACCAUCGUAAGGUAAUCUAGACUGAUGGGGAUCAGUCACAAACAAGGAAGUGAAAAAAAAAAAAAAGAAAUCC
rnacentral:lncRNA from 1 species